ACGCAACCCUUCUUUGCUCCCGGUUGCUUGGAAACGACAGAUCACCUUCCCGGAGAGAUUCAGAUAAAGAAACCGCCGCCAAGGUUGACAUCAAGAUAGCCUGGAACUGAUGGUUGUGAGCUGUCACAUGGAGAAUCGAAAUUGAACCUGGGUCCUCUGGAAGGGCAACCAAUAUCCUUAACUGCUGAGCUAUUUCUCCAGCCCCUUCCACCAUCGGUUCUCUUGGCAGAGAAAACAAGAGAAAAAGGACACUAUGGAAAAAUAAAGAAAAAAUAAUGUAGC
rnacentral:lncRNA from 1 species